rnacentral:rRNA from 1 species
GAUGAACGCUGGCGGCGUGCUUAACACAUGCAAGUCGAACGGAACUACUCCAAUGAGAGUCUUCGGAAAGGAUUUGGUUUAGUUUAGUGGCGGACGGGUGAGUAACGCGUGGGUAACCUGCCCUAUACAGGGGGAUAACAGUUGGAAACGACUGUUAAUACCGCAUAAGCGCACAGGAGCGCAUGCUCCGGUGUGAAAAACUCCGGUGGUAUAGGAUGGACCCGCGUCUGAUUAGCUGGUUGGCGGGGUAACGGCCCACCAAGGCGACGAUCAGUAGCCGGCCUGAGAGGGUGAACGGCCACAUUGGGACUGAGACACGGCCCAAACUCCUACGGGAGGCAGCAGUGGGGAAUAUUGCACAAUGGGGGAAACCCUGAUGCAGCGACGCCGCGUGAGCGAAGAAGUAUCUCGGUAUGUAAAGCUCUAUCAGCAGGGAAGAAAAUGACGGUACCUGACUAAGGAGCCCCGGCUAACUACGUG